rnacentral:rRNA from 1 species
UACAGAGGUCCCGAGCGUUGUUCGGAUUCACUGGGCGUAAAGGGUGCGUAGGUGGUUCUGCAAGUCUGAUGUGAAAUCUCCGGGCUUAACCCGGAAAUGGCAUUGGAAACUGUGGGGCUAGAGUGUUGGAGGGGGGACUGGAAUUCUCGGUGUAGCAGUGAAAUGCGUAGAUAUCGAGAGGAACACCAGUGGCGAAGGCGAGUCCCUGGACAACUACUGACACUGAGGCACGAAAGCUAGGGGAGCAAACAGG